GUGUCAGCAGCCGCGGUAAUACGGAGGGUGCGAGCGUUAAUCGGAAUUACUGGGCGUAAAGCGCUUGCAGGUGGUUUGUUAAGUCAGAUGUGAAAGCCCGGGGCUCAACCUCGGAAUUGCAUUUGAAACUGGCAGGCUAGAGUACUGUAGAGGGGGGUAGAAUUUCAGGUGUAGCGGUGAAAUGCGUAGAGAUCUGAAGGAAUACCGGUGGCGAAGGCGGCCCCCUGGACAGAUACUGACACUCAGAUGCGAAAGCGUGGGGAGCAAACAGGAUUAGAAACCCC
rnacentral:rRNA from 1 species